rnacentral:lncRNA from 1 species
UGUGAGCUUGAUCACAAUGGGUUCCAUCUUGUCUCAAGGUGUCGGCAAGGUCCCCCCUGCUCUCCCGCACGCUCUGCAACCCUCUCCCCCUCGUCCCCUUGCUCCUAGAGGUGCCUGCCAUUGGAGCUUCUCCAUGGAUCUUGGAGCUUCUCCGACGUCGCGAGAACUCCACCUCCCUUGUCUAUAAAUGGCGUCCCCGAGUCCCUCCUAUGG